UACGUAGGGUGCAAGCGUUGUCCGGAAUUAUUGGGCGUAAAGAGCUCGUAGGCGGCUUGUCGCGUCGGCUGUGAAAACCCGUGGGCUACCACCCGGGCCUGCAGCUGAUACGGGCAGCUAGAAUUCGGUAGGGGAGACUGGAAUUCCUGGUGUGAGCGGUGAAAUGCGCAGAUAUCAGGAGGAACACCGGUGGCGAAGGCGGGUCUCUGGGCCGAUACUGACGCUGAGGAGCGAAAGCGUGGGGAGCGAACAGG
rnacentral:rRNA from 1 species